UAUAUGUCGCGUUUGGUACUAUCUGUGGUUUCAGGUAUCCACUGGGGGUCUUGGAAUGUAUUCCCUGUAGAUAAAGGGGGACUACUGUAUACCAAUUUGCUCAUAUCCUGACUUCCUAUUCACUCCUUCUGCCUUUGUCCUUCCUUCUGUCUUCCUCCACAUUAAAAACUCAAAUAUGCUAAGAGAAAGCUUUCACUUUUUAAAUAGCCUAAAUUGGCACAGUUUUCUUUUUCACCAUCUCUGAAAAUUAACAUGUGACCAAAUCAUUUCACCUCUGGUAGCAGAGAUGUAUGAGACUAUACUCUUCUGUAAUGCCAGAAAAACAUAAUCCAAUUUAGUAGAGGCAAAGAAAGAAAAGGAUGGUGAUAAAUUUCUACAUAAAUGCCUCAUGUUGGCAUGAGAUCAUCUACAGUCCUCUUAUUUGUCAAAUAAAGAGAUGGAGAUUCAGGGAGUUAGAGUCACUUUCUAUCACAAAGUCUGUAGCAGAAUCAAGACUCAAGCCCAGGUCUUCAGAACAAAGCUUAGUACGUUAUAUCACACUUUUCCCCUGGCUUCCAUUUCUGAGACUCACCAAAAGCUUCAAGACCAGAGAACAUAAUUUGCCAUCUUAUACUUAGAAAAUGCCAUCAGUUUUUCUGCACUAAUUACGGGUCCUUUGGAUGAAGAUAGUAACAUAAAACUGGCAGUAUUUUUCAUGGAAGAAGAUUUAUGCAUCACUGCAUUUGGAUUCAACAAAAUUUCUCUGUAAUGCUUCCUCAGAUGUCAGUCAAUGGGAUUUUCUCAUAGGCAAGAACAGUUCUUGAAGUUUGCAUCGGUAUGGAGAGAGUAUGUAGCCAUCAACAUGGCAUGGAUUUGAGAGUGAAUAAAAAAAAGAAACGCAAAGAGAAGAUAAUCAUUUAGCGGAGUCUGGGGUCCAUCAGUCUGCAUCUAGUUUAGCGUCUGUGGCUCACUGCAUGGAAGCUGUUCACCAGAGGUUCCCUCUAUCAUAUGUCUGCCUGGAGCUCUGAUUUCUGCGACUUCAGGAAGAGAAAGAGCCUGGCAGGGCCCAGGCUCAGCUUUUGCCUCUCUGGGAAGUCUCUCAACCCGUUGCUGAUCUGACCCCAUCUUUGGAGAUCUGCUUCUAAGAGCCCGUGAAGGAUGAAGACCUCAAAGAGCUCAUGGUAUAGGGAUAGAAAUGAACUGCUGUUUGCUCAAAGGGGGUAAAGGAAGUGAGAAGAGCCAGUGUCAGGCAUGAACACACAAAAGAGCAUGAUGUGUUAGGAUCUAUACAGUAUACUACAUUGCAUUUACUUGUCAUAUCUGAGGCUUCUCUUAGCUAUGACAGUUUCUUGGACUUUCCUCAUUUUUGAUGACCUUGACAGUUUUGAGGAGUACUGGUUGAAUAUAUUGUAGGAUGCCUCUGUAUUAGAAUUUGUCUGAAGACUUAUCUUGAUUAGACUGGGAUUAUGGGUUUUAGAGAGGAAGACCACAAUGGUAAAUUGCCAUUUACAUCACAUCAUAUUGUUGAAAUCAGAAACAAAUGGAGAACAGCAUUGAGAAUUCCCUACAUGGACAAAACUAGUUUGGUCACAGAAACAAAACUUAAAUUUCUUAUUUUGCAAGACUAACUUGACCUGGGUCUUUUCUUCCCUAUGCUUCUGAAAAUUCUAAGCAAAACUUGAACUGUUUCCCAAGGUUGAUAUGAGGUGACCAAUGACCAAUUCCUUAUUAUUUAAGAAAACUCCAAUGUUAACUAAUCACUGUGAAGAAUAAAUAGUCACUGUCUUCCCACUAUAUAAAGGUGCUUUAUAACAGUAUAAUCCUGAGCCUUGAUCCAUGUUUUGGUUGGAGGGCACCCAGUUUGCAAACUGUCUUUUUGGUUGUGUGCACAAUAAACUUUUAUUAAUUGCUAA